UACGUAGGGUGCGAGCGUUGUCCGGAAUUAUUGGGCGUAAAGAGCUCGUAGGCGGUGUGUCACGUCGGCCGUGAAAACCUGCAGCUUAACUGUGGGCGUGCGGUCGAUACGGGCAUCACUGGAGUUCGGCAGGGGAGACUGGAAUUCCAGGUGUAGCGGUGAAAUGCGUAGAUAUCUGGAGGAAUACCGGUGGCGAAGGCGGCAUCCUGGACCGGCAUUGACGCUGAACAGCGAAAGCUAGGGGAGCAAACGGG
rnacentral:rRNA from 1 species